CCUACGGGAGGCUGCAGUCGAGGAUCUUCGGCAAUGGGCGCAAGCCUGACCGAGCGACGCCGCGUGCGCGAUGAAGGCCUUCGGGUUGUAAAGCGCUGUCGAGGGGGAGGAAAGCCCGCAAGGGCCUGACCUAUCCCUGGAGGAAGCACGGGCUAAGUUCGUGCCAGCAGCCGCGGUAAGACGAACCGUGCGAACGUUGUUCGGAAUCACUGGGCUUAAAGGGCGCGUAGGCGGGUUCCCAAGUCGGGGGUGAAAUCUUUCGGCCCAACCGGAAAAGGGCCUCCGAUACUGGGAACCUCGAGGGGGGUAGGGGUCGGCGGAACUUCCGGUGGAGCGGUGAAAUGCGUAGAUAUCGGAAGGAACGCCGGUGGCGAAAGCGGCCGACUGGACCCCGCCUGACGCUGAGGCGCGAAAGCCAGGGGAGCGAACGGGAUUAGAUA
rnacentral:rRNA from 1 species